rnacentral:tRNA from 1 species
GGCCUGAUGGUCUAGUCGCAUGAUUCCUCGUUUGGGCGCUUGACGCUUACGUAAUUCGAGGAGGUCAGGGGUUCAAUUCCCCUUCAGGCCC